GCAUAUCAAUAAGCGGAGGAAAAGAAACCAACAGGGAUUGCCCUAGUAACGGCGAGUGAAGCGGCAACAGCUCAAAUUUGAAAUCUGGCCUUCCGGUCCGAAUUGUAAUUUGCAGAGGAUGCUUUUGGCGCGGUGCCUUCCGAGUUCCCUGGAACGGGACGCCUUAGAGGGUGAGAGCCCCGUACGGUUGGACACCAAGCCUCUGUAAAGCUCCUUCGACGAGUCGAGUAGUUUGGGAAUGCUGCUCUAAAUGGGAGGUAAAUUUCUUCUAAAGCUAAAUACCGGCCAGAGACCGAUAGCGCACAAGUAGAGUGAUCGAAAGAUGAAAAGCACUUUGAAAAGAGGGUUAAAUAGCACGUGAAAUUGUUGAAAGGGAAGCGUUUACGGCCAGACCUUUUCCUGGCGGAUCAUCUGGUGUUCUCACCAGUGCACUUCGUUAGGUUUAGGCCAGCAUCGGCUUCUGCAGGGGGAUAAAAGCAGUGGGAAAGUAGCUCUCUUGGGAGUGUUAUAGCCCUAAGCAUAAUACCCUUGCGGGGGCCGAGGACCGCGCUUUUGCAAGGAUGCUGGCGUAAUGGUCGUCAACGACCCGUCUUGAAACACGGACCAAGGAGUCGAACAUUUGUGCGAGUGUUUGGGUGUUAAACCCUCACGCGUAAUGAAAGUGAACGGAGGUGAGAGCCCUUUAGGGUGCAUCAUCGACCGAUCCUGAUGUCUUCGGAUGGAUUUGAGUAAGAGCAUAACUGUUCGGACCCGAAAGAUGGUGAACUAUGCGUGGAUAGGGUGAAGCCAGAGGAAACUCUGGUGGAGGCUCGCAGCGGUUCUGACGUGCAAAUCGAUCGUCAAAUCUGCGCAUGGGGCGAAAGACUUAUCGAACCAUCUAGUAGCUGGUUACCGCCGAAGU
rnacentral:rRNA from 1 species